rnacentral:rRNA from 1 species
GAUGAACGCUAGCGGCAGGCUUAACACAUGCAAGUCGAGGGGCAGCACAGAUAGCAAUAUUGGGUGGCGACCGGCAAACGGGUGCGGGAACACGUACGCAAUCUACCUUUAUCUGGGGCAUAGCCCGAAGAAAUUCGGAUUAACUCCCCAUAGCAUAUUUGAGUGGCAUCACUUAGAUAUUAAAACUCCGGUGGAUAAAGAUGAGCGUGCGUCCCAUUAGCUAGUUGGUAGGGUAACGGCCUACCAAGGCGACGAUGGGUAGCUGGUGUGAGAGCACGACCAGCCACACGGGCACUGAGACACGGGCCCGACUCCUACGGGAGGCAGCAGUGAGGAAUAUUGGUCAAUGGACGCAAGUCUGAACCAGCCAUGCCGCGUGAAGGAUGAAGGCCUUCUGGGUUGUAAACUUCUUUUAUCUGGGAAGAAACCCCUGAUUUCUAUUAGGGCCGACGGUACCAGAGGAAUAAGCACCGGCUAAC